GUGCCAGCAGCCGCGGUAAUACGUAGGGUGCGAGCGUUGUCCGGAAUUACUGGGCGUAAAGAGCUCGUAGGUGGUUUGUCGCGUCGUCUGUGAAAUCCCGGGGCUUAACUUCGGGCGUGCAGGCGAUACGGGCAUAACUAGAGUGCUGUAGGGGAGACUGGAAUUCCUGGUGUAGCGGUGAAAUGCGCAGAUAUCAGGAGGAACACCGAUGGCGAAGGCAGGUCUCUGGGCAGUUACUGACGCUGAGGAGCGAAAGCAUGGGUAGCGAACAGGAUUAGAUACCCUGGUAGUCCAUGCCGUAAACGGUGGGCGCUAGGUGUGGGGGUUUUAUUUACGAUUCCCGUGCCGUAGCUAACGCAUUAAGCGCCCCGCCUGGGGAGUACGGCCGCAAGGCUAAAACUCAAAGGAAUUGACGGGGGCCCGCACAAGCGGCGGAGCAUGUGGAUUAAUUCGAUGCAACGCGAAGAACCUUACCUGGGCUUGACAUACACCGGAUCGCUGCAGAGAUGUAGUUUCCCUUGUGGCUGGUGUACAGGUGGUGCAUGGUUGUCGUCAGCUCGUGUCGUGAGAUGUUGGGUUAAGUCCCGCAACGAGCGCAACCCUUGUCUUGUGUUGCCAGCACGUUAUGGUGGGGACUCGCGAGAGACUGCCGGGGUUAACUCGGAGGAAGGUGGGGAUGACGUCAAAUCAUCAUGCCCCUUAUGUCCAGGGCUUCACACAUGCUACAUGGUCGGUACAGUGGGUUGCGAUACCGUGAGUGAGCUAAUCCCUUUAAAGCCGGUCUCAGUCGAUGAGUCUGCACUCGACUCAUGAGUCGAGUCGCUAGUAUCGCAGAUCAGCACGCUGCGGUGAAUACGUUCCGGACUUUGCAACAACCGGCCAGUA
rnacentral:rRNA from 1 species